CGCAACCCCAGGUCAGCGGGCAGCACCCUGCCGAGUGUAAGCAUAUCAAUAAGCGAGGAAAAGAAACUUUCCAGGAUUCCCCCUAGUAACGGCGAAGCAAACCGGGAAGAGCCCAGUUGAGAAUCGGGCGCCCUCGCGUACCGAAUUGUAGUCUGGAGAAGCCCGUCCUCAGCUGGCGGACCGGGGCCAAGUCCCCUGGAACGGGGCGCCCGGAGAGCGGUGAGAGCCCCGUCGUUGCCCCGACCCUGUCGCACCACGAGGCGCUGUCUGCGAGUCGGGUUGUUUUGGGAAUGCAAGCCCCAAUCGGGCGAGGUAAAAUUCCGUCCAAGGCUAAAUACGGGCGGAGGGAGACGAUAGCGAACAAGUACCGGCGAGGGAAAGAUUGAAAAGGACUUUGAAAAGAGAGUCAAAGAGUGCUUGAAAUUGUCGGAGGAACGGAUUGCGGGGCCGGCGAUGCGCCACGGUCGGAUGUGGAACGGCGGCAAGCCGGUCCGACCGAUCGGCUCGGGGCCGGACGACGCGGAUCGCAGCGGCCGGCCCAAAGCCCGGGCACUAGAAAACGCCCGCAGAGAGACGCCGGUUCGCAGCGAUCGUGGAACAGCAGCGCGCGCCGUCACGCGUGCCCCGCACCAGCGCGGCUCCUGGCGUCGCCGGGCGGGCUCCCCAUUCGGCCCGUCUUGAACACGGACCAAGGAGUCUGACAUGUGUGCGACGUCAACGGGCGCGGUAAACCCGUUAAGGCGCAAGGAAGCUGUGGCGGGGAUCCCCCCGAGGGUUGGCACCGCCGACCGACCUCGAUCUUCUGAGAAGGGUUCGAGUGAGAGCAUGCCUGUCGGGGACCCGAAAGAUGUGAAACUAUGCCUGAGUCGGGGCGAAGCCAGAGGAAACUCUGGUGGAGGCCGCAGCGAUUACUGACGUUGCAAAUCGUUCGUCAUACAUUGGGUAUAGGGGCCGAAAGGACUAAUCGGAAGCCGUUCUGUAGCUGCGUUCCCUCGCGAAGUUUCCCUCAGGAGCUGGCAGCUCGGGACGAGUUCUAUGGAGUAAAGCCACAUGAUUAGAGGCAUCGCGGCGGCGCAACGCCCUUCGACACCUAUUCUCAAAACUUUAAAUAGGUAGGACGGCGCGGCUGCCUUCGCUGAAGCGGCGCCACGAAUCGAGGCUCCAAGUGGGCCAUUUUUGGUAAGCAGAAUGGCGAUGCGCGGAUGAACCGGAAGCCGGGUUACGGUGCCCAACUUUGCGCCGCCUAACCAGAACCCACAAAGGUGUUGGUCGAUUAAGACAGCAGGACGGUGGUCAUGGAAGUCGAAAUCCGCUAAAGGAAGUGUGUAACAACUCACCUGCCGAUCAACUAGCCCUGAAAAGGAUGGCGCUUAAGCGCGCGACCUAUACCUGCCGAUCGGGCAAGACCAGGCCCGAGAGUAGGAGGGCGCGGCGGCCCCUGCAAAAACCCGCUGAGCGCGAGCCCGGGCGGAGCGGGCCGCCGGUGCAGAUCUUGUGGUUUGUAGGCAAAUAUUCAAAUGAGAACUUUGAAGGCCGAAGAGGGGAAAGGUUCCAUGUGACGGCACUUGCACAUGGUUAGUCGAUCCUAAGAGACGGGGGAAGCCCGUCCGACAGCGCGAGUCCUGCGCGCGAGCUUCGAAGGGAAUCGGGUUAAAAUUCCCGAACCCGGGACGCUGGCGGCUGAACGGCAACGUUAGGGAGUCCGGAGACGUCGGCGGGGGCCUCGGGAAGUAGUUAAUCUUUCUGUUUAACGGCCCGCCCACCCUGCGAAAACGACUCAAGUCGGAGGUAAGGGUCCAACGCCGGAAGAGCACCGCACGUCGCGCGGCGUGUCCGGUGCGCCCCCGGCGUGCCCUGUGAAAAUCCGGAGGACCGAUGCCUCCCGCGCCCGGUCGUCUCCAUAAACCGCAUCAGGUCUCCAAGGUGAACAGCCUCUGGCCAAGAACAAUGUCAGGCAAGGGAAGUCGGCAAAACGGAUCCGUAACUCGGGAAAGGAUUGUCUGAGGGCUGGGCCCGGGGUCCAGUCCCGAACCCGUCGGCUCGUCGGCGACUGCUCGAGCGCUCCCGCGCGAGAGCGCGAGUCGCCGCGUGCCGGACCGGGGCGGACGGACUGGGAACGGCCCCUCCGGGGCUUCCCCGGGCGUCGAAACAGUCGACUCAGAACUGGUACGGACAAGGGGAAUCCGACUGUUUAAUAAAACAAAGCAUUGCGAUGGUCCCUGCGGACUGCUCACGGCAAUGUGAUUUCUGCCCCAGAUUGCUCUGAAUGUCAAAGUGAAGAAAUUCAACCAAGCGCGGGUUAAAACGGCUGGAUAACUAUGACUCUUUAAGGUAGCAAAUGCCCUCGUCAUCUAAUUAGUGACGCGCAUGAAUGGAUUAACGAGAUUCCAAAAUUGUCCCUGUCUUACUAUCCAGCGAAACACAGCCAAGGGAAACGGGACUUGCGGAAUACAGGGCGAAGAAGACCCUGUUGGCUCUGACUCUAGUCGACCUUCUUGUUGAAAUGAACUUGAGAGUGUAGGAUAAGUGGAAGGCCGGAAAAACGGCGACGUGUGAAAUACACUACUUUUACGUUAUUACUAUUCCGCUGAAUCGGAGGCGGGCCUCGCCCCUCUUUUUGGACCCAAGGCCGCCACGGCGGCCGAUCCGGGCGGCGAAGACAUGUCAGGUGGGAGUUUGGCUGGGGCCGGACAUCUGAUUAAAAGAUAACGCAGGUGUGCCUAAGAUCGAGCUCAACGAGAGCAGAAUCUCGUGUGGAACAAAAGGGUAAAAGCUCGUUUGAUGGUUCUGAUUUCCAGUACGAAUUUACGACCGUGAAAGCGUGAGCCUAUCGAUCCUUUAGACCUUCGGAAUUUGAAGCUAUGGAGGUGUCAGAAAAGUUACCACAGGACUAACUGGCUUGUGGCAGCAAGCGUUCAUAGCCGACGUUGCUUUUUGAUCCUUCGAUGUCGGCUCUCCUAUCAUUGUGAAGCAGAAUUCACCAAGUGUUGGGAUUGUUCACCCACCAACUAGGGAACGUGAGCUGGGUUUAGACCGUCGGGAGACAGGUUAGUUUUUACCCUACUGAUGACCGCGUCGCGAUGGUAAUUCAACCUAGUACGAGAGGAACCUUGAUUCCACAAUUGGUCAUCGCGCUUGGUUGAAAACGCCAGUGGCGCCGAAGCUAAACGUGCGCUGUAUUUGACUGAACGCCUUCUAGUCAGAAUUCCGGGCCAGAAGCGACGCCCGUAUCCGGCGCCCGCUUCCACCCGCAGUAGGGGCCACUCCGGCCCCCAGAGGCACGUGCCGUUGCCAAGCCCCCGCGAGCGGACGAGCCGCGCGCGGCCGCCUGAAGUACUAUUCCCACCGGGCGUCGGGCAGAAUCCUUGCAGACGACUUAAAUACGCGACGGGUAUGUAAGUGGCAGAGUGGCCUUGCUGCCACGAUCCCACUUGAGAUUCAGCCCUUUGUCGCUCCGAAUUCC
rnacentral:rRNA from 1 species